GCAGCUGGGCGCGGAAGCGUGGGGCGGGCUGCACGUCCCGCCUGCCCUGCUCCGCCCCUAGCCGGCCCGGCCCCGGCCUCUCCGGAGCCUCGAGGCGUCGUUCCCCACCUCCGCCUGGGCGGAUAGGUCGGUGCGGUGGGCGGAGACCCGGCCAGAGCCUGGCAUUUCUUGGGCACUCACCUUCAAGCGCCGAUCGUGUGCUGGACCCCGAGAGGCGUGCAGGGCCUGGGCCCGGAGUGCUCACCGAGCCUACUGUGUGCACCGACUGUGGGCCAGCUCAGUGCUGUGCGCCCCGCGGCGGGUGAGAAACCUCCAGCCUCGUCCCCAUCCGCCCAGGAGCUCGGGUUCUUCCAGGAGGGGACACUAAGCUGAUGAAAAUGACAGGAGGGAUGUGUGGAACGUGUAAUGUGUAACAACUGCCAGGCGCUGGGCCCAGAGCUAGAAGAGCAACAUUCUGUUUAAUGACGUGACCUCUUCGGAGAGGCUCCUCCUUGGUUGCCCUCUCUUCCAGUCACUGUGACAUCAUCGUGUUUUGUCUUCGCAAGCUUGUUAUGGCCGGUGAACUUUUGGUUCCUGUCUCCCCCGACACAAACAAGCUCCCGAGGGCAAAAACCUUGCUUUGUUUCCGGAAAACACUUCCAGCCCCGUGCCCUAACUGGAUCAUCAUUUGGCACACGGUAGAGGCAAUUAAGGCCUACAGCUGGUGGUCUGAUCAUACGUUCAGAGGAUAACAAUAUGCAAUGUAGCAUCCAUGGAGAGUCUCCUUCUGAAGUCAAAUUUAAAAAAAGGAAAAUGUCGGGCGCAGGCGCUCAACACACCCCGCCCGGGACGAUAAGACCACGUCAGCUUCCGCAAUGUGUUACGUCCCUCUCUAAAUUAGCCAACCCGUGCGCACCUCGUGCUCACUCCGUAUUCGCCCUGUGCCGACUCUGUGGCAACCCCUGAUUGGCCACAGCUGGGUAUAGUAGCCAGAGCCUGCGUCCCAUUCCCGCCCUGCUUCCUCGUGGCAGCCUGUGAUUGGUCACGGCCGAAUAUAUAAACCAGAGCCCGCGUAAAUAAAGCGGCAGUUCCUGUUACCACCUGAAGCGUCUCCUGUCUCAUUGGGGGGCUGUGCCGGUCAGAAAAAAAUAGAAAUUUCAGGUGUGUGGCUUCCAGUUCCUUCAGUGUCUGUGUCUUCCGGACUUGUUCUGGGGGGCUGAGAUUGCACCCCGCUCCUGUCUUGACCUUCUGCCGUGUUCCUCCGAAUCAGCCGGGUGCUGAGUCCUGGAUGCCUCCUGCACUGGCUGCCCGACCGCAGCACAGAAGGCCUGCUCCUGGGUUCCGCUGACCCGAGGUUCCCAGCAGGGCGGGGAGGUGCGGGCGGGGCCUCCCCAGUGCUCCGGGUGGUGACAGGGCCUUGGGGCAUGGCCUCUCCUCCUCCAGCCCUAGUGGCUGGCUCACUGCGGGGCAUGACUUCUCUGAGCUCAACGUGGUGAGCUGCACCUUGUGUUUUGAUUUAUGUUUUCUUAGUGGCUAAUGAUGGAGAGAAUCUUUCUGUGUACUUAUUACCAUUAACAUACCUGUUUUUUAAAAGAAAUAUUUAUUUAACCAUUUGGGAUUUUUUGUCUUUUUAUUGUUGAAUGGUAAGAAUUCUUUAUGUAUUUAUGGAUACCAAUCCCUCAUCAGAUUUGAGAAUAUUUCCCCUCAUCCUGUUGGCUUUCUUUUUAUUUUCUUAUCAGUGCCCUUUGAACAACACAUUUUUGAUAGCUUCUACCAGCCUGGGGCUUAGCUAUCUCUAGCAGACAUCUGCACCUGCCAGGAGAAACAAUUUAUCUCUCCAAGAGUAACUUCGGUCUUGUUCCUUCUAGUUCCAAGGAAAACCUCCCACUCUUCUUGUGCAUGGAUGAGCUCUCUCCUAUCUCCACCUUAGCACAAAUACGUAAAAAUGUAAAAAUCGUUCCCAAGCUCCCCUUUUUGAGGAUCUUGCACUCUUCUGCAGAUCUCCCGAGCCCAGUAAAGGGUUUGUUUGUGUCUCUCUCUCUCUCAACUAUACUGAAGAAAACCUAAACAAGGUGGGCGUAGUGGCUCAUGCCUGUAAGCCCAGCAUUCGGGAGGCUGAGGCAGGAGGUUUGUUGUGAGUUCGGGACCAGCCUGGGCUAUAAAGUGAGCUCAAGGCCAGCCUCAACUGCAUAGUGAGACCCUGUCUCAAAAAAGACAAAAAUAAAAUAAACAAUUUUUUGUUUCUUUUAUUGUA